rnacentral:lncRNA from 1 species
ACAGGGUCAGGACCUCCUCUUGGUGGAUGAGAGGAUUCAUCCUUGGGAAAGCUGAGCUCUAAAGGGUCUCAGUCAGAUUUGGGGCAGGGGUAGGGGUUGGCAGGUAGGGGAAGAGUGUUGCGAGGAAGGAAGGAUGCAGCAGGUGUUUGCUAGUAGAGCCGCGGAAAAACAUGGUCCCUUCAAGAAUUUAAGCAGGGUCAGUAUUGUAUCCAGGAUGAGAGGAGCAUGGGCAGGAUGGAGCUCAAGAUAGGUGGACAGGAACUGUAUCCCGGAGCACUGGGAAGCUGUGUUAACAUGCUUGAAUUUUUUUAAAUUUUGCUUAUCAUACAAUCCACCCUUAGUGUAUAUGACUCGAUGAGUUUUAGGUAAAGUUAACCAUCACCAUAAAUCAGUUUUAGAGCAUCUCAUUACUCCAUUAAAAUCCUUCAUGCACAUUUUUACGAGGAUGUACUUAUUUAUUUUAGAGAUGAAGUAUCUCUGUGUCCCAGGCUGGAGUGCAGGGACACAGUCAUAGCUCAGUGCAGCCUUGAACUCCCAGGCUCAAGCAAUCCUCCUGCCUCAGCCUCCUGAGUAGCUGGGACCACAGGCACACACCACCACAAACAGCUAGUUUUAAAAAAACAUUUUUUUUUAAGAUGAGGGCUCAUUAUGUUCUUCAUGCCCAUUUAAUCCCCUCCUCCCUGCUUUCACCCCAGCUGCCAUGGAUCUACUUUCUGUUUCCAUCAUUUUCCCUUUUCUGGAUGUUUCCUAUUGUCACACAAUAUGCAGUCUCUUGUGUCUGGCUUCUUUUCACCAGAGGAGCUUGAAUUUUAAUCUGAAAACACUGAGAGGCCCUUACUGAGGUUUAAGAAGUAACAAGACCAGGCCGGGCAUGGUGGCUCAUGCCUGUAAUCCCAGCACUUUCUGAGGCCGAAGCAGGAGGAUCACUUUCGGUCAGGAGUUCGAGACCAGCCUGGGCCACAUGGCAAAACUCCGUCUCUACUAAAAAGACAAAAAUUAGCACGGCAGGGUGGCACGCACCUGUAAUCCCAGCACUUUGGAGGCCGAGGUGGCGGAUCACUUGAGGUCAGGAGUUCAAGGCCAACAUGGUGAAACCCCAUCUCUACUAAAAAUGCAAAAAAUUAGCCGGGGGUGGUGACAUGUGCCUGUGUCAGAGGUGUUUGAACCAGAGUGACUCCCUCUUGAGUGAGGGCUAGGAAAAUGAGGCUGCCACUGCUGGGCCGCAUUCCCAGGAAGUUAGGUAUUCCUGGCCUCCAGAUGUUUAUGGUUAAGGGAACAGAUUGACGUUUAAUAAAUGCACCCAGACUUUGGUCUAUAGGAUUUCUAUAGGAUGAUUGGACUGUAAAUGAAUACGGUAGAUGUAUUCAUCUACAGUAGACUGUAGGUGAAUCAGAGUGUCCUGAUUCUGAUAUCUUGAGAACAAAAACAUUCCUAAUUUUGUUUUAAAGAUAAUAAUAUUGAUUCUUGCAAAAUAUAGUAUUUAAGAAAAUUAAUCCUUCAUCAGAAACCCUUGUAGCAGAACCCAUCUCCCCGUGAUCUGUUUUUAUCCUAUAUAUAAGUGAGUAUUGUACUUAGGGAGGACACGUUCCUCCUCGUACUUUUGGAAACACCCUGCUCUGUCUACGGGGUAGCCGUGCUUUCACCACUUUGCUUUCUUAAUAAACUUGCUUUUGCUUUGUGGAUUCGCCCUGAAUUCUUUCUUGUGUCAGAUCCAACUCUCUCGGGUCUUUAUUGGGACCCCUUUCCUGUAACACCUGUAGUCCCAGCUACUCAGGAGGCUGAGGCACAAGAAUCGCUCAAACCC